GAGAGUAUAGCUCAGUUGGUAGAGCGCCGCCCUUAAGGCGGAGGUCGUGGGUUCAAAACCCACUGCUCUCA
rnacentral:tRNA from 1 species